GACGAACGCUGGCGGCGCGCCUAACACAUGCAAGUCGAACGGAAUCAAGAGGAGCUUGCUUUUCUUGAUUUAGUGGCGAACGGGUGAGUAACGCGUGAGUAACCUGCCCUGGAGUGGGGGACAACAGUUGGAAACGACUGCUAAUACCGCAUAAGCCCACGGUACCGCAUGGCACUGAGGGAAAAGGAUUUAUUCGCUUCAGGAUGGACUCGCGUCCAAUUAGCUAGUUGGUGAGGUAACGGCCCACCAAGGCGACGAUUGGUAGCCGGACUGAGAGGUUGAACGGCCACAUUGGGACUGAGACACGGCCCAGACUCCUACGGGAGGCAGCAGUGGGGGAUAUUGCACAAUGGGGGAAACCCUGAUGCAGCGACGCCGCGUGGAGGAAGAAGGUUUUCGGAUUGUAAACUCCUGUCGUUAGGGACGAUAAUGACGGUACCUAACAAGAAAGCACCGGCUAACUACGUGCCAGCAGCCGCGGUAAAACGUAGGGUGCAAGCGUUGUCCGGAAUUACUGGGUGUAAAGGGAGCGCAGGCGGACCGGCAAGUUGGAAGUGAAAUCCAUGGGCUCAACCCGUGAAUUGCUUUCAAAACUGCUGGCCUUGAGUAGUGCAGAGGUAGGUGGAAUUCCCGGUGUAGCGGUGGAAUGCGUAGAUAUCGGGAGGAACACCAGUGGCGAAGGCGACCUACUGGGCACCAACUGACGCUGAGGCUCGAAAGCAUGGGUAGCAAACAGGAUUAGAUACCCUGGUAGUCCAUGCCGUAAA
rnacentral:rRNA from 1 species